rnacentral:rRNA from 1 species
GACAGAGGGGGCAAGCGUUGCUCGGAAUACUGGGCGUAAAGCGUGCGCAGGCGGUUGUGCAAGACAGAUGUGAAAUCCCCGGGCUCAACCUGGGAACUGCAUUUGUGACUGCAUGGCUGGAGUGCGGCAGAGGGGGAUGGAAUUCCGCGUGUAGCAGUGAAAUGCGUAGAUAUGCGGAGGAACACCGAUGGCGAAGGCAAUCCCCUGGGCCUGCACUGACGCUCAUGCACGAAAGCGUGGGGAGCAAACAGGA